UGUGUCAAAAAGCAGGAAGCGCACAAUUGGGUUUUUAUUAACUAGGUUUCUUUGGAACAUCAUACUGAAAGUCAUUUGUCUCUGUCCAGCAGGAAAUGUUCUCUCAUGUCUCUCUAAUUUUUCUCGAAGCACAGUGUCUUUCAAUGUAUCCUGCCCUGUUGCACUAAGUAACCAUCAGUUAAGUGCAGUGUUCCUCAGAAGAGCACGCUGCUUAUGUGGAGAUGGAGGAACGUGCUCGCAGCUGCCUGCUGCGCUCCAAAGCCACCCUGGAGCAGGACAUCAAAGCCUCCUACUUGAUGGACCACAUGGUCAGUGACGGCAUCCUGACAAAUGAUGAAGAAUCAAGGGUGCUUGGCAAGCCUACUAGAAGAGAGCAGGCCGAG